rnacentral:lncRNA from 1 species
AUGAAAACGCCACACUCUGCUCCCACGCCAUUCGGAGCACCCGGGAGCCCGGGGCCCACGUGUCGUGCAAGGGCCCCAGGAUUCAGGACGACCGUACCCCGAGUGGUUCGAGUCCCGGCGCGGCUGCCUUCGCUGGCCGAGCCAACGCUCUUUACACCAGAGGCAGGGGCUGCCACAUCCCCGCGGGCCUCCGCGGACACCCCCGCGGUCACUCCCGCGGUCACUCCGCCACCCGCUCGGCUCCUUCCGCGACCGUGUGGCCCGCGGAGCUCCGCCGGCCCGGGACCCCGGGACGCCCGAGCCUGGAGCUGGGGUGAUGACAGAUGGCGGGGGCGGGGCCUCGGGGGGAAGGGGCGGAGCCUCCCGGCAUGGGGGUGCUGGCGGCUGACAGAAAGACCGGGACAGCGCGGGCGGGGGCUGACGGGGACCGCGCGCCGGGCCGGGGGCCGGGGGCCGGGCGCGGCGGGAAAGCGCUCGCGCGGACAUAGGGGGCUGACAGGCGGAGAGACACACAGACACCGGGGGCUGACAGCCGCGGGGCACACGGGGCGGCGGGCCGCGACGGGCGCUCACCUGGCAGCGGCGGCGGCGGCGGCGCCCGCGGCCCGGCCGCUCUCUCCCGCGCUGCGGGCCUCCCUCCCGGCGGGCGGGCGGGCGGCCGGCGCAGGCCCCGCGGAGGCGGCGGCGUCGACGCCGGAGCCGCGGACUGCUGAGCGGCGGGGACGCAGCUGCACCAACCGACUCCGGGCCGCUCGGCUCAGCUCGGCCGCACUCGGAGGCACUCGGCCGGGAUCGGCCCAGCUCGGCUCGGCUGGGGGCGUGGCCCAGGGCCCCCCGCCCAGGUCGCCUCUGGGGCCUUGGGGGCGGGGCUUUGGAGCGGGCGCGAGCCCCCUGACGUCGCGGCGAGCGAACCUAACCCUGGGCGCAUGCGCGAGCUCGGGCUUCGCCUUCCAGGCGUGGAGGCCAAAGAGGCAGGGGCAGAGGGAUGGGGGCGGAUGCUGCGGCCCCAGCGGUUCCUGGGUUUUGUGCUCAAGAUCCUGGUCUUUCUACGGUUCCAGCUAUCGAAGACCACACCAGGCUGCACUUCCAAAAGGAUGUAGGCCGUUGGUGGUUAGUUUUUCUUUGCUCCCACUAAGGCUUCACUGUAGUAUUUAA